rnacentral:rRNA from 1 species
AACGAACGCUGGCGGCAUGCCUAACACAUGCAAGUCGAACGAGACCGUCGGGUCUAGUGGCGCACGGGUGGGUGACGCGGGGGAACCUGCCCUUAGGUUUGGAAUAACUCACCGAAAGGGGUGCUAAGACCGGAGAAGGUCUUCGGGCCAAAGAUUUAUCGCCGUUGGCUGGGCCUGGGUUGGAUUAGCUAGUUGGUAGGGGAAAAGCCUACCAAGGCGACGUUCCCUAGCUGGUCGGAGAGGAUGAUCAGCCACACUGGGACUGAGACCCGGCCCAGAAUCCUACGGGAGGCAGGAGUGGGGAAUAUUGGACAAUGGGCCAAAGCCUGAUCCAGCCAUGCCGCGUGAGUGAUGAAGGCCUUAGGGUUGUAAAGCUCUUUUACCCGGGAUGAUAAUGACAGUACCGGGAGAAUAAGCUCCGGCUAACUCCGUG